ensembl:miRNA
GGUUUCUCUGUGUAGCCCUGGCUGUUCUGGAACUCAUUCUGUAGACCAGGCUGGCCUCGAACUCAGAAAUCUGCCUGCCUCUGCCUCCCAAGUGCUGGGAUUAAAGGCAUGUGCCACCACUGCCCA